AGUGGCGUACGGGUGAGAAAAACGUGGGGAUCUACCUUCGGGUGGGGGAUAACUCUGGGAAACCGGAGCUAAUACCGCAUGAGCAGGGAACUGGAAAGCCGAAAGGCGCCGGAAGAGGAGCCCGCGGCCGAUUAGCUAGUUGGUGAGGUAACGGCUCACCAAGGCGAAGAUCGGUAGCCGGCCUGAGAGGGCACACGGCCACACUGGCACUGAAACACGGGCCAGACUCCUACGGGAGGCAGCAGUGGGGAAUCUUGCACAAUGGGGGCAACCCUGAUGCAGCGACGCCGCGUGAGCGAUGAAGCCCUUCGGGGUGUAAAGCUCUUUCGGCCGGAACGAUAAUGACGGUACCGGAGGAAGAAGCUGCGGCUAACUACGUGCCAGCAGCCGCGGUAAUACGUAGGCAGCAAGCGUUGUUCGGAGUUACUGGGCGUAAAGAGUGCGUAGGCGGUGACCUAAGUUCGUUGUGAAAUCUCCCGGCUUAACUGGGAGGGUGCGGCGAA
rnacentral:rRNA from 1 species